GAGUUUGAUCAUGGCUCAGAACGUACGCUGGCGGCACGCCUAACACAUGCAAGUCGAACGAAGUAGCAAUACUUAGUGGCAGACGGGUGAGUAACAUGUAGGUAUCUGCCCUUUGGCCUGGAAUAACACGAGGAAACUUGUGCUAAUACCGGAUAAGUCUUUACGGAGAAAGCUUUAUGCACCAUUGGAUGAGCCUGCACUUGAUUAGUUUGUUGGUGGGGUAAUGGCCUACCAAGACUGUGAUCAAUAGCUGAUUUGAGAGGAUGAUCAGCCACAUUGGGACUGAGACACGGCCCAAACUCCUACGGGAGGCAGCAGUGGGGAAUCUUGCACAAUGGAGGAAACUCUGAUGCAGCGAUGCCGCGUGAGUGAAGAAGGCCCUUGGGUUGUAAAGCUCUUUCGUCGGGGAAGAAAAUGACUGUACCCGAAUAAGAAGGUCCGGCUAACUUCGUGCCAGCAGCCGCGGUAAUACGAAGGGACCUAGCGUAGUUCGGAAUUACUGGGCUUAAAGAGUCCGUAGGUGGUUGAAAAAGUUAGUGGUGAAAUCCCAGAGCUUAACUCUGGAACUGCCAUUAAAACUUUUUCAGCUAGAGUAUGAUAGAGGAAAGCAGAAUUUCUAGUGUAGAGGUGAAAUUCGUAGAUAUUAGAAAGAAUACCAAUUGCGAAGGCAGCUUUCUGGAUCAUUACUGACACUGAGGAACGAAAGCAUGGGUAGCGAAGAGGAUUAGAUACCCUCGUAGUCCAUG
rnacentral:rRNA from 1 species